ACAUUAUACGAGUGAAGAAUGCCGGAAUGAGUAGCGAGAAUUAUGUGAGAAUCAUAAUGGCCGAAAGUCUAAGGUUUUAGGAGGAAGGUUCGUCCGCUCCUAGUAAGCCGGGAGCUAAGGUGAGGCGGAAACGCGUAGCCGAUGCACAUACUGUUGAAAAUCAGUAGCCUCCGAAAGAUUUAAACACAGGGACACUUUGAAAGCGAUUAGCCGGGCGUUGGUUGCCCCGGUUGAAAAGGACUGAAUUAAUUCGGGAAGUAAUCGUGGACGAAGGCGAGAAAAGCUGUGCGAAUAUCUGCUGGAGCCCGUACCGCAAACCGACACAGGUAGACAGGAAGAGAAUUCUAAGGCCAACGGGAGAAGGGUUGUUAAGGAACUCGGCAAGUUGACCCCGUAACUUAGGGAGAAGGGGUGCUUGCAUAACAGCAAGCCGCAGAGAAUAGGCCCAAGCGACUGUUUAGCAAAAACACAGCUCUAUGCUAAAUCGAAAGAUGACGUAUAUGGGGU
rnacentral:rRNA from 1 species